GUCGACUCCGUUUCGCUUCCCCUUCCAUUCCUCUUCUCUCCCCCGGCCUUUUCCCCUUCUCUUCCCUCGUUCGAAGAAGCUCGCAGCAGCCGCCUAAUCCAGCGGCAGUUGAGGAUGGCGGCGGCGCCGCCGCCGCCGCCGGACGGGCAGGAGAAGGUGAUCGCGGCGGCGCAGCACAUCGUCAAGUCGCUCGCGAACUCCAAGAACGCCGCCGACGACAUGAUCCGCAUCCUCUCUCGCUUCGACAACCGCUUCUCGCUCAUGUCCGACCUCUUCCCUCCUCCCCCUACCGCCGUCGAUUCCAUACUGGAGGCGGACGAGGGGACCUCUCAGGGGGAAGGGGACGAGCCCGAUCUCGACCCCGAAGGCGACGCGGCGGCCCGCGCCGAGGCGGAGUGGGACGCGGCGGCCGAGGUGGUUGAGCGCUGGGAGUCCCCCACCGCCGACGCGCUGGUGUUCGACUCGCGGGAGGGCGAGGAGUACCUCGCCGCGGCCGCCUGCCUCACGGGCGCGCCGGGCCCGCGCGCCGAGGCCGCGCUGCAGACCGCCAUGGCGCGGCUCGAGGACGAGUUCCGCCACCUGCUCAUCCGCGGCGCGCCGCCACUUGCCGCGGAGGACCUCCAGGUCUCGCUCCUCCGCCGACUCUCGCUCACGGUACCCUCCUUCAACUCCUCCGCCGUAGACCUAGACUGCCCCUCCUUUGCCCAACACCACGCCGCCGUCGCCGCCGAGGGGGUAAACGAGCAGCAGGGCGGCAGGAGUUCCGCCUCCGACGACGAGAUCUCGCCCUACCUCAUCGCCCCGGACACCGUCAGCGUCCUCAGGGACAUCGCCGACGUCAUGCUGCGCGCCGGCUACGCGCCCGAGCUGUGCCAGGUAUACGGGGAGGUGCGCCGGGACACGCUCAUGGAAUGCCUUGCCGUGCUCGGGGUCGACAAGAUGAGCCUCGAGGAGGUGCAGCGGGUGGAGUGGGGCGUGCUUGACGGCAAGAUGAGGAAGUGGAUCCAGGCGCUCAAGGUCGUCGUCCGGGGCCUCCUUGCUGAGGAGCGCCGUAUCUGCAGGCAGAUCCUUUCGCCGGACAUGAACACUGAGGAGGAGUGCUUCACUCAGGCGGCCAAGGGUUGUGUCCUGCAGAUGCUGAACUUUGGUGACGCCAUUGCGAUUGGGAAGAGGUCCACCGAGAAGCUGUUCCGCAUCCUUGGUAUGUAUGAGGCGCUCGCUGAGGUGCUGCCAGAGCUUGAGGGUUUGUUCUCGGGUGAUGCAAAGAAUUUCAUCAAGGAGGAGGCCGAGGGAAUACUCUUGCGGCUUGGGGAUGCAGUGUGUGGCACGAUCGAAGAGUUUGCUAAUGACAUACAGGGAGAUACUUCUCGGAGAGCACUGCCUGGUGGGGAGAUCCAUCCCCUUACCCGCUAUGUCAUGAACUAUGUGUGGCUGCUUGCAGACUACAAUGCCUCGCUAAAUAAGCUUCUGGAAUGUUGGGAUACUGAGCUGACCGGGGUUGAUAAUCCAAACAUGACUCCAUUGGGGCACUGCGUGCUCAUGCUGAUCACACACCUACAGUGCAAGAUCAAUGAGAAAUCGAGGCUGUAUGAGGAUGAAGCGUUGCAGAACAUAUUUUUGAUGAAUAAUCUGCUGUAUAUUGUGCAGAAGGUGAAAGAUUCAGAGCUCAAGACAUUGCUUGGUGAUAACUGGAUUCGCAAGCGUCGUGGUCAGAUUAGGCAAUACUCUACAGGGUAUCUUCGAUCAUCAUGGACUAGGGUGUUAGCUUGCCUGAGAGAUGAUGGGCUUCCGCACACGAUGGGUUCAUCAAGCACACUCAAAGCCGCAUUGAAGGAUAGAUUCAAAAACUUUAACUUGGCCUUCGAGGAGUUGCACAGGACACAGACAUCAUGGAGGGUUGUGGAUCCUCAGUUAAGAGAAGAGCUGAAGAUCUCAAUCUCCGAGAAGGUUCUUCCAGCAUACCGUUCAUUUGUUGGAAGAUUUCGGGGACAACUAGAGGGAGGGAGGGGUUCUGCAAGAUAUAUAAAGUACAACCCUGAUGAUUUGGAGAACCAUGUCUCAGAAUUUUUUGAAGGGAGAAAGUCAAAUGCUUGAUGGUCAAGGUGAGUGCUAACUCCCAGGCUGUGUUUCCAUACAUAACUCAGAUGUAUUAUUGGAAGGCAUGUUCAUAUCAACUAUGCAGCCUGAAGACCCGUGCAAAUUUUGAUGAUGCUAGUUCCAAGUCCCCUUCCAAAUUUCUUGGCACUAUACAGGGAACUUGACCUUCAAACAUCUUUUGAAGGUCUGAAGAUGGAAAUAUAAUCUUCUCCUGAACUGACAGAAACUUUGUGAAUUGCAAAGCAACCCGAAUUGAAUGGUUUAGCUUGUCAUUCUUGAUCCUGUCACAGCGAGUGGUGACGUCAUUGAGGCUUGCCCAUGGAAUUAUGACAACUGCAUCUGCCAUGAGCUGUGUAAUUGCAAUUCUUACAUUUUACCUGUCUUUUGUCAAUGGUAACAUCUCGUGACUCUUGUUUGACUAAAAUGGAAUUUCGGUCCCUGGAAUUUUUAUGUACAAUCCUACCAGGAGUUAUGUUCACAUUUACCUUGUUGCAUCCUUUUUUAUAGUGUGUUGCAGCCUUCUGUUAUAUUCAUUCGUUGAUGAUAGACAAAGCGCAUAGUUGAUGCGACAUGCUGUUGGUCCCGUUUCCUUGUCAACCUCUAAUGAAAAAUUGCAUUUUCA